rnacentral:rRNA from 1 species
UACGUAGGGUGCAAGCGUUAUUCGGAAUUACUGGGCGUAAAGCGUGCGCAGGCGGUUAUGUAAGACAGGUGUGAAAUCCCCGGGCUUAACCUGGGAACUGCAUUUGUGACUGCAUCGCUGGAGUGCGGCAGAGGGGGAUGGAAUUCCGAGUGUAGCAGUGAAAUGCGUAGAUAUGCGGAGGAACACCGAUGGCGAAGGCAAUCCCCUGGGCCUGCACUGACGCUCAUGCACGAAAGCGUGGGAAGCAAACAGG